GCAUUUUUAACUUAAUUGGAUAGAGUACUAACCUUCUAAGUUAGUUGUUGUUGGUUCGAAUCCAACAAAAUGUA
rnacentral:tRNA from 1 species